rnacentral:rRNA from 1 species
UACGGAGGGUGCAAACGUUGUUCGGAGUUACUGGGCGUAAAGGGUGUGUAGGCGGUUCUUUAAGUUUGGUGUGAAAUCUCCCGGCUCAACUGGGAGGGUGCGCCGAAUACUGAGGGACUAGAGUACGGGAGAGGAAAGUGGAAUUCCUGGUGUAGCGGUGAAAUGCGUAGAUAUCAGGAGGAACACCGGUGGUGUAGACGGCUUUCUGGACCGUAACUGACGCUGAAACACGAAAGCGUGGGUAGCAAACAGG